rnacentral:rRNA from 1 species
UACGGAGGGGGCUAGCGUUGCUCGGAAUCACUGGGCGUAAAGGGUGCGUAGGCGGGUCUUUAAGUCAGGGGUGAAAUCCUGGAGCUCAACUCCAGAACUGCCUUUGAUACUGAAGAUCUUGAGUUCGGGAGAGGUGAGUGGAACUGCGAGUGUAGAGGUGAAAUUCGUAGAUAUUCGGAAGAACACCAGUGGCGAAGGCGACUCACUGGACACAUAUUGACGCUGAGGUGCGAAAGCGUGGGGAGCAAACAGG